AUUGAACGCUGGCGGCAUGCCUUACACAUGCAAGUCGAACGGCAGCGCGGGAGCAAUCCUGGCGGCGAGUGGCGAACGGGUGAGUAAUAUAUCGGAACGUGCCCAGUAGUGGGGGAGUAGCCCGGCCGAAAGACCGGAUUAAUACCGCAUGAGACCUGAGGGUGAAAGCGGGGGAGUCGCAAGACCUCGCGCUAUUGGAGCGGCCGAUAUCAGAUUAGCUAGUUGGUGAGGUAAAGGCCCACCAAGGCGACGAUCGAUAGCUGGUCUGAGAGGAUGAUCAGCCACACUGGAACUGAGACACGGUCCAGGACUCCUACGGGAGGCAGCAGUAGGGAAUAUUGGACAAUGGGGGCGAACCCUGAUCCAGCCAUGCCGCGUGAGUGAAGAAGGCCCUCGGGUUGUAAAGCUCUUUUGUCCGGAAAGAAAGCAAUCGGUUAAUACCCGGUUGUUCUGACGGUACCGGAAGAAUAAGCACCGGCUAACUUCGU
rnacentral:rRNA from 1 species